AAUUGAGUGGUCUAAUGGUAAGACGAAGGAGCUGAGCGUCCCUGCAGGCGUUCAGACGAGACUAGAUGCAGGUUCGAGUCCUGCCUCAGUUU
rnacentral:tRNA from 1 species